AAGAUGCUUGCUUAGUCGUUCAAAUUUUGUUUUCUCAAGUGUGUAUUUCUUCCCAGGUUAUGUUGCCGGAAUCUAUCGCCAUUGUCAUGGCCCCAAGAGACACUUCCAAGUAAUAUUCUUUUUAUGUUUUUUCUCAUCUUGAACUUUAACAGCGUUAUUUAUUUAUGUAUCAAAGACUUAACAUCACCUGUGCAGUAAACAUGGUAUAUUCCGAUUGACUCCAGGUGGCACGACAGUCGUGAGGCUAUGCCCAAAACGCGGGUUUCAUCCACACAAACCUCCUUCCGAUGGUAGUCCAAUAUACAAUCAUUGUACAGAUGUUUAUAUGAAUCCUACCUUGAAGGUUGACAUCAUUGAUCUACGGUGAUCUCAAUUACACAUACAGAUUUAUUUGCAAGCUUAUUUGCUUAUUCAUGACAUGAAUAUGAUUUUUAUCUCUGCCUUGUACUUGAACAAUGAGAAGUUUCACAGGAAAUAAAAGAAAAUUGUACCGUGAGAUGACAAUUCUUGUUCAUGGAUAAAGGAAAAGAUCUGAAUGGAUAUGAUUGUAUUGUUUGUACCAGUUAACUUUUCUCUAUUGCAAUUAUUUUUGCUGUUGUUUUGGC
rnacentral:lncRNA from 1 species